UACGUAGGGGGCUAGCGUUGUCCGGAAUCAUUGGGCGUAAAGCGCGUGUAGGCGGUCCGGUAAGUCCGCUGUGAAAGUCGGGGGCUCAACCCUCGAAUGCCGGUGGAUACUGUCGGGCUAGAGUACGGAAGAGGUGAGUGGAAUUCCUGGUGUAGCGGUGAAAUGCGCAGAUAUCAGGAGGAACACCAAUUGCGAAGGCAGCUCGCUGGGACGUUACUGACGCUGAGACGCGAAAGCGUGGGGAGCAAACAGG
rnacentral:rRNA from 1 species